rnacentral:rRNA from 1 species
AGGAAUCUGCCUAUUAGUGGGGGACAACAUUCCGAAAGGAAUGCUAAUACCGCAUACGCCCUACGGGGGAAAGCAGGGGAUCUUCGGACCUUGCGCUAAUAGAUGAGCCUAAGUCAGAUUAGCUAGUUGGUGGGGUAAAGGCCUACCAAGGCGACGAUCUGUAGCGGGUCUGAGAGGAUGAUCCGCCACACUGGGACUGAGACACGGCCCAGACUCCUACGGGAGGCAGCAGUGGGGAAUAUUGGACAAUGGGCGAAAGCCUGAUCCAGCCAUGCCGCGUGUGUGAAGAAGGCCUUUUGGUUGUAAAGCACUUUAAGCGAGGAGGAGGCUACCGAGAUUAAUACUCUUGGAUAGUGGACGUUACUCGCAGAAUAAGCACCGGCUAACUCUGUGCCAGCAGCCGCGGUAAUACAGAGGGUGCGAGCGUUAAUCGGAUUUACUGGGCGUAAAGCGUGCGUAGGCGGCUUUUUAAGUCGGAUGUGAAAUCCCUGAGCUUAACUUAGGAAUUGCAUUCGAUACUGGGAAGCUAGAGUAUGGGAGAGGAUGGUAGAAUUCCAGGU